GAUGAACGCUGGCGGCGUGCUUAACACAUGCAAGUCGAACGGAAAGGCUCCUGCUUGCCGGGGAUCUCGAGUGGCGAACGGGUGAGUAACACGUGGGUGAUCUGCCCUGCACUUCGGGAUAAGCCUGGGCAACUGGGUCUAAUACAGGCUAGGACGGUGGUUUGGUUGCGAUUGUUGAAAGCUUUGCUGAGUGGGUUGGGCUCGGGGCCUAUCAGCUUGUUGGGGGGGUAAUGGCUUACCAAGCGGCCGUCGGGUACCCGGCCUGGGAGGUGGUACGGCCACAAUGGGACUGAGAGACGGCCCAGACGCCUACGGGAGGCAGCAGUGGGGAAUAUUGCACAAUGGGCGCAAGCCUGAUGCAGCGACGCUGCGUGUGGGAAGACGGCCUUCGGGUUGUAAACGCCUGUCGCUAGGGACGAAGCGCAAGUGACGGUACCUGGAGAAGAAGCACCGGCUAACUACGUG
rnacentral:rRNA from 1 species